rnacentral:rRNA from 1 species
GCUAAAUAGCUAGCUCAAUCCUCAAAACCUACAUAACAUAAUUACCGGGUUUUUAAUAAAACACACCUGAUAAAAUAAAACAUUUUUAUACCUUAGUACGGGCGACAGAAAAGGUACAAUGAAGCUAUAGAAAGAGUACCGCAAGGGAAAGCUGAAAGAGAUUUGAAAAAGUUUGUUAAAGCCUAAAAAAGCAGAGAUUAAACCUCGUACCUUUUGCAUCAUGAUUUAGUCAGAAAUAUCUGAGCGAAGAGAACUUUAGUUCAGCACCCCGAAACCAAGUGAGCUACCCCGAGACAGCCUAUUUCAGGGCCAACCCGUCUCUGUGGCAAUAGAGUGGGAAGAUCUCCGGGUAGAGGUGACAGACCUAACGAACUUGGUGAUAGCUGGUUGCCUAGGAAAUGGAUGUGAGUUCAGCCUCGUGCUCCUUACCUCAAACCAAGCAUUAUCGUAUAAAAGAUAUUAAGAAAAACACGAGAGUUAGUCUAAGGAGGUACAGCCCCUUAGACCAAGGAUACAGCCUUAACAGGUGGUUAAAGACUAUAAUUUAUAAGAUUACUGCUUCAGUGGGCCUAAAAGCAGCCACCUGAACAGAAAGCGUUAUAGCUCAGGCAGGAAUAUCAAUCUAUUAUCCCAGUAAUCCCUUCUUAAACCCCUAACUCCCUACUAGGCCUUUCCAUGCCAACAUGGAAGUGAUACUGCUAAAAUGAGUAACAAGAAGGCACCCCCUUCUCCCCGCUUACGUGUAUGUUAGUUUAGGACAAACCACUCACAAUUAACGAACCCAACCAAAGAGGGUAAAAUAGUAAAAAAAAGAAACCAAGAAAAACCUACUAUCUUUUAUCGUUAACCCUACACCGGAGAGCAACACAAGGAAAGACUAAAAGAAAAAGAAGGAACUCGGCAAAUACAAGCCUCGCCUGUUUACCAAAAACAUCGCCUCCUGCAAACUUUGAUGUAUAGGAGGUCUUGCCUGCCCAGUGACCACAGGUUAAAUGGCCGCGGUAUCUUGACCGUGCUAAGGUAGCGCAAUCACUUGUCUUUUAAAUGAAGACCUGUAUGAAUGGCGAAACGAGGGCUUAACUGUCUCCUUUUUCAGGUCAGUGAAAUUGAUCUACCCGUGCAGAAGCGGGUAUAUAAAUACAAGACGAGAAGACCCUUUGGAGCUUAAGACAUAAGAUCAACCACUCCAGUUAUCCCACUAACAGCAUAAAAACAAUAUGGUAAUUGAUCCGCGUCUUCGGUUGGGGCGACCACGGGGGAAAACAAAGCCCCCAUGCGGAAUGGGGUACACACCCUAGACCUACGAGAGACAUCUCUAAGCCACAGAAUAUCUGACCUAAAGAUCCGGCCCACCGGCCGAUCAACGAACCAAGUUACCCUAGGGAUAACAGCGCAAUCCCUUCCAAGAGUCCCUAUCGACGAAGGGGUUUACGACCUCGAUGUUGGAUCAGGACAUCCUAAUGGUGCAGCCGCUAUUGAGGGUUCGUUUGUUCAACGAUUAAAGUCCUACGUGAUCUGAGUUCAGACCGGAGUAAUCCAGGUCAGUUUCUAUCUGUAACGCAAUUUUUCCUAGUACGAAAGGACCGGAAAAAUAAGGUCAAUGUUUUUAAAUACACCUUAUUCCUAUUUAAUGAAACCAACUAAAUUAAACAAAGGAAGCGCAUGUUCUAAUUCAAGAUAAGAAUAG